UAAUACGUAGGGACCAAGCGUUGUUCGGAUUUACUGGGCGUAAAGGGCGCGUAGGCGGCAUGACAAGUCACUUGUGAAAUCUCCGGGCUUAACUCGGAACGGCCAAGUGAUACUGUCACGCUAGAGUGCAGAAAGGGCAAUCGGAAUUCUUGGUGUAGCGGUGAAAUGCGUAGAUAUCAAGAGGAACACCUGAGGCGAAGGCGGGUUGCUAGGCUGACACUGACGCUGAGUGCGCGAAAGCCAGGGGAGCAAACGGGAUUAGAUACCCCGGUAGUCCUGGCCCUAAACGAUGAAUGCUUGGUGUGGCGGGUAUCGAUCCCUGCCGUGCCGAAGCUAACGCAUUAAGCAUUCCGCCUGGGGAGUACGGUCGCAAGGCUG
rnacentral:rRNA from 1 species